rnacentral:rRNA from 1 species
AGCGCAGGCGGUUUCUUAAGUCUGGUGUGAAAGCCUUCGGCUCAACCGAAGAAGUGCAUCGGAAACUGGGAAACUUGAGUGCAGAAGAGGACAGUGGAACUCCAUGUGUAGCGGUGAAAUGCGUAGAUAUAUGGAAGAACACCAGUGGCGAAGGCGGCUGUCUGGUCUGUAACUGACGCUGAGGCUCGAAAGCAUGGGUAGCAAACA